rnacentral:rRNA from 1 species
CCCUUAGAUGUUCUGGGCCGCACGCGCGCUACACUGAUGCAUUCAACGAGUCUAAAACCUGCUCUGAUAGGGGUGGGUAAUCUUUUGAAUGUGCAUCGUGAUUGGGCUAGAUGAUUGCAAUUUUUCAUCUUCAACGAGGAAUGCCUAGUAAACGCAAGUCAUCAGCUUGCAUUGAUUACGUCCCUGCCCUUUGUACACACCGCCCGUCGCUCCUACCGAUUGAAUGAUCCGAUGAAUAUCAUGGAUUGAGGAUGCAAGCAGGUUCGCCUGUCUUCAUCUUCGAGAAGUGAAGUAAAUCUUAUCAUUUAGAGGAAGGAGAAGUCGUAACA